rnacentral:rRNA from 1 species
AAAAUUGGCAUCGUUAUCAAGCUUGAUUUUGAAAAAGCUUACGAUAAAGUGAACUGGGAUUUCCUGCUUAAGUGUCUUGAGAUGAGAGGUUUUGGCAAAACCUGGUGCAGGUGGAUGGAGAAAAUCCUCCACAAUGGCACCGUUAGUGUGAAAAUAAACAAUACUUCAGGGCCUUACUUCCAAAGCCACAAAGGAGUGCGACAAGGGGAUCCGGUGUCCCCCUUUCUGUUCAAUAUUGCUGCCGAGUGCUUGUGUAAAAUGGUGCUGCAAGCACAAACAAACGGUUUGAUUGAUGGGUUGGCCUCGGAUUUGGUCGAUAAGGGAGUGGCCAUUCUGCAAUAUGCAGAUGACACAAUCCUGUGCAUUGAACAUAACCCUGAAAAAGCGCUAAACCUGAAACUGUUGUUGUAUAUGUUCGAACUCAUGUCAGGGCUGAAAAUUAACUUUCAAAAAAGUGAAAUUCUUAGCGUGGGGGGAGAUGAUAAUAUUUUGAAAGAAUAUGCUGAUAUUUUUGGUUGCCAGAUUGGGCAUUUCCCAAUGAAGUAUCUUGGUGUUCCUGUCAGUUACUCGACUUUGAAAGGUGUGGAUUGGGAAUACCUUGAGGCAAAAUUUGUCAAGAGAUGUGAAUCUGGACUGGGAAGUAAUGCC